rnacentral:rRNA from 1 species
AGUGAACGCUGGCGGCAUGCCUAACACAUGCAAGUCGAACGAGGGCUUCGUCCUUAUUUGCUCAUGGGGGCGGAGCGUGGGGGAAUGUGCCCGUGUGUUCCGGAUAACAGUUAGUAGUGACUGCUAAUGCCGGAUGAUUUCGUAAGACACAGGAUUUAUCGCCCAAGGAUGAGCCCGCGUCGGUUUAGCUUGGGGGUGGUGUAAAGGCCUAUCAGGGCGACGAUCCUUAGCUGGUCAGAGAGCAUGAUCAGCGACGCUGGGACUGAGACACGGCCCAGAAUCCUACGGGAUGCAGGAGUGGGGAAUAUUGGACAAUGGGCGAAAGCCUGAUGCCGCAAUGCCGCGUGAGUGAUGAAGGCCUUAGGGAUGUACAGCUCUUUUACACGCGAUGAUAAUGACGGUACCGGGAGAAUAAGCGCCGGCUAACUUCGUG